rnacentral:sRNA from 1 species
GCCAACCACUGCUCCAAUUUGGCUAUUUCACUUUUGACUUUACGUUGAUGUUGAAAAAGGCAAAAAUUUACAAAAUUUUGUACAACAUACAGUUAUUAAAUAUUAUAAAAAUGCAAGUGUAAAUAAUAUAUACACAUACAUGUGCAAAACACCGCAGAGCGAAUAAAAAACCUGCUGUGUCAAGCAGUACGAAAACGACAACAACAAAUACCAGAGCGAAACCGUGUUUUCCCAGCUAACGCACUGCGACAACAUGUUGCACAACAAUGCCAGCUGGCUGCCACCGCCGCAACAACGGCAUCGUCUGCAGCAA